ACACAGCACUUGUACACAGGGCUAAGAUGCUGGACUACCAGGUAAAAACACAGCACUUGUACACAGGGCUAAGAUGCUGGACUACCAGGUAAAAACACAGCACUUGUACACAGGGCUAAAAUGCUGGACUACCAGGUAAAAACACAGCACCUGUACACAGGGCUAAGAUGCUGGACUACCAGGUAAAAACACAGCACUUGUAUACAAGGCUAAGGUGCUGGACUACCAGGUAAAACACAGCUCCUGUACACAGGGCUAAGAUGCUGGACUACCAGGUAAAACACAGCUCCUGUACACAGGGCUAAGGUGCUGGAAUAACAGUAAAACACAGCUCCUAACUGCACCUGCACACGGGGCUAAGAUGCUGGACUACCAGGUAAAACACAGCUCCUGCACACAGAGCUAAGAUGCUGGACUACCAGGUAAAACACAGCUCCUGUACACAGGGCUAAGGUGCUGGAAUAACAGUAAAACACAGCUCCUAACUGCACCUGCACACUGGGCUAAGGUGUUAAUAACUAGGUUAUAACUUGUAAAACACAGGUAAUGACAGGUAAAAGGCAGGUAAUUACAAGGCUAAACUGAUAACAGGCCGAACACCGGUAAUGACAGUUAAAACAUAGGCAAUGACAGGUGAGAAACAGGUGUAAUGACUGGUAGAACACAAGUAAAACGGGUAAUAGUGGGACAAGCACGGGUAGUAACAGGUAAAAUACUGGUAAUGGCGGGUAAAAUACAGAGCUUCUAACUGCGCCUGUACACUAGGGCCAACUUUGUUUAGUCGAAAUUCUCAAAGACUAAUUUUUAUAAUUUUUUAAUUCAACAUGAGCUAAGGCAGGCGUGCAGGCAGGCUAUUCUGAGUAAGUGGACGUAAUUGUCUGGUGCGGUCUAUAGAGUAGCCCGUGCCUGUGUUUGGGUUUGUGCAAUUAUUUUUAAGCAGGUCUCAAAACAGUGUAUCGCCUCACCAUUUAUCAGCAUUUUUCUUUUAUUUAUUCAGACCUGUGUUGGUGUUCAUUUAUUUGUCUCUCCCUGAACAAAACAGGCUUUUUUUUUGGUAUGCUGUUUAUGCCAAUGUUAUGUUGUUUAUGUUGUUUUUCUGGUUCUAAAGAAUGAGCUUUUGAAGGCAUAUUUAUGGUGAAAGUUUUGUUUUUCUGGUUCUGAAGAAUGAGCUUUUUAAGGCAUAUUUACGGUGUAAAUUUGUUUUUCUGGUUCCGGUCCAACGGGCUUUUAAAAGCAUACGGCAUAAAAGCUGUGCUUAUUACUUGCAGUUGCAAUUCACAGAAGUUUUUUUGAAACAGUCUGCACUUUUAUUUAAGAUGAAUUGACAUGAAUGUGCCAGGGCAGCGUCUAAAUACAUUGCAUUUAUAUUUUAAUUUAAUCAGCCCAGUAUACCGGGGAAUAGAGUAUGCAUUAUUAGAAUAUGCCUGCUGGCUAAUGCGCUAUUAGAAAUGUAUUUUAUGGUUUGGUUUAGUAGCCAAAUAAGGCAGUCAAUUCUGCAUUGUCUAGAUCACACACAUCGGCACAGAGAAUCAGUGCAGCAGUUGUUGCAAACGCUUGGGUAUGUUUUCUUUGGUGUCUGUGCUUGUUCCUCUAGUGUAAACCUUCAUGAACUUCAUAAGAGAGUCUGCACCAAAAGGAAGAGAAUAGCAGUGCAUACAGUGCUAUUCAUUUAAAUGAAUUUGAUGUCUUCGAAUUUGGAAGAAAUAAAUGUUCAAAAAUUUUGAUGGAUUUUUAGUUUUAAAAAAAAACAAAAAAACA